AGAGCCGCUGGGUUUGCCUUUAGAAGCAGCCUCCUGCCUUCCUGUUCUCCUGUGGAGCUGCGGGUAUGGAGACAUGGUUCCUCUUGUCUUCUCUGUGACUCGUGGGUCCUUUCUUAAGACUUAGGCACCCCUACCCAUCACCACCUUCGAAAAGUUUUAAUCUGCAUAUCUCCUCCCCUUCUUUUCCACUAACUUACAAGUGGAAAAAUGCAGAUCAUGUGACCUGUCUCUGUCCAGUCCGGAUGUGUGUGGCUCAUGUCCCUGUGUUCUGUGUGGAUUUCCGGCAAGGGUUUCCUGCCAGAUUCAGAAGUUUAAGAAGACUCAUAUUGGCUCUUGGGUAGCUUGGGUUUUCUAUUAGGAGGCUGCUAUGUCAGGCAUUGGCUCUUCCUUGAUUUUGAGGUUUUGAUAGCAUGAGGUUAGGACGCACAGGAUAAAGCAGUUUCCUGAAAGUUCGGAUGGAGCUGUGCUUGAGAGGGCAACUUCUCUAAUCUCCUGGCUCCCCCCCCUCCCCCCACUGUUUCCAUGGCAGCGUCUGCUCUUGGAUUUCCUGGCUCUGUUUCCCUCCUGUUACAUGCACCUUCUUUCUUCUUAAAUUUUUUUUUCUAAUAUUUAUGUGUGUGUGUGUGUGUGUGUGUGUGUGUGUGUGUGUGUGUGCACAUGUGAACCAGUCGUGGCGUUCUUGUGAAUGUCAGGACAAUUUGCGGGAGUCAGUUUCCUCUUUCCAUCAUGUGUGUCGCUGGGAUUGAACUCAGAUCAGACUUUGAC
rnacentral:lncRNA from 1 species